CCCUAUUUCCUAACUCAGUUGGUAGAGCAUGAGACUCUUAAUCUCAGGGCCAUGAGUUUGAGCCCAACACUGGGGA